GCUCAGGUAGUAUAACCGGCUAGUAUAGAGGCCUGUCACGCCUCUGAUCCGGGUUCGAGCACAGUCGGUUUCUUUCUCUUUUUUCAAAAAAAAGAGAAAGACAAGUCCGGGUAGAAAGAGAAAAAACGAUGACCUCAACUUUGUUGAGGCCAAAAAUCCGGACACUGUCGAAAAUCCCGGCCUGGGCG
rnacentral:tRNA from 1 species